rnacentral:rRNA from 1 species
GUAAUAGCUCACUAGUCGAGUGACACUGCGCCGAAAAUGUACCGGGGCUAAACAUAUUACCGAAGCUGUGGAUUGUCCUUUAGGCCACUGGUAGGAGAGCGUUCUACGGGCGUUGAAGCAUGUUCGCCAGGACAUGUGGAGCGCCUCGACGUGAGAAUGCCGGUGUGAGUAGCGAAAGACGGGUGAGAAUCCCGUCCACCG